AUCCCUAUUUUCACUGAUUCUAUCAAUGGUUUAGGGUUAGGAUUUUGAGUCUUUAUUUUAUUUCUCGAGUCUUUUUAGUGUCUUUUCAGGUAUUUUAUGCAAUGGGACAACCAUGGAGAUGAGGAGACAUUUUGGAGCAAAACCUAAAGGAAAGGAAGCUAAAGACGAUUUUGGAUUCAGGAAUCAGAGAGAGUGUCGAUCAACACACUCUUGGUGUCGAUCGACACC
rnacentral:sRNA from 1 species